GACGAACGCUGGCGGCGUGCCUAACACAUGCAAGUCGAACGGAAAGGCCUGCUUUUUCUUGUGGUUUGCGGGUACUCGAGUGGCGAACGGGCGAGUAACUCGCGUGCGAUCUGGCCCCAAAUUGGGUAUAAGAACGGGAACCAGGGCCUAAUUAUCGAUAGGACCGCAGGGUGGUGCAUGUGGUGGAAAAUGUUUUUCUAGUGGUUGGGGAUGAGCUCGCGGACUAUCAGCUUGUUGUUGGGGUAAUGGCCUACCAAGGCGGCGACGCGUAGCCAGCCAGGGAGGGUGCACGCCGGCAUUGAGACUGGGACACGACCCAGACGGCUACGGGAGGCAGCAGAUGGGAAGAUUGGACGAUGGGCGGGAGGCUGAAGCAGCGACGCCGCGUUGAAGAUGUCGGGCUUCGGGUUGUAAACUCCUUGGGACCGCGAAAUGUCCACCUGGUUGGAAGGGUGGUGACGGUAGUUAUAGAAAAAGCACCGGCUAACUACGUG
rnacentral:rRNA from 1 species